rnacentral:rRNA from 1 species
GAAGUUGAAAUGUUUGUGAAGAUGCAAUCUACCCGCGGCUAGACGGAAAGACCCCAUGAACCUUUACUGUAGCUUUGCAUUGGACUUUGACGGGACUUGUGUAGGAUAGGUGGGAGGCUUUGAAGCCAGGACGCUAGUUCCGGUGGAGCCAACCUUGAAAUACCACCCUGGUGUCGUUGAGGUUCUAACCCAGGCCCGUGAAUCCGGGUCGGGAACAGUGCAUGGUGGGCAGUUUGACUGGGGCGGUCUCCUCCC